ACUGGUGUUAAACCUCUACUAUUAUUAUUAUUACUAGAACAAUGACAGAUUUGAGGGAAGAUAUGAGAAACUAUUUAGCACGUUCAGAUACAGAUCAUUCCAAAACAAAGACAGAUUAUAUUGACAUCAUAAAAAAUAGCACAUUUAAAAGUUGGAUAUUUCCAGCAAAGUCUAACGUUAGUGAAGAAACUAACGUACUCAUUGAAGAUUCAGAAUCAAGUGACAUAAACAGAUUGUUUACACAAUCUGAGAAGGAUUCAUGUUUUCCUAGUUUGAGUAAAGGACAGCGAAUAGUUGGAUUUGUGGGAUGUAUUUUAAUUGGCUUUUUUUGUUUCACAUUGGCUGGAUUUUAUGUUCCAUUUCUGUUGUUGAAAUCAAGAAAAUUUGCUCUCUUGUAUAGUCUUGGAAGCUUAUUUAUUAUCUGCAGCUUUUCAUUACUAUGGGGUCCAGUUACUCAUGCCAAGCAUCUGUGUUCCAGGGAAAGAUUGCCAUUUACAAGUAUUUAUUUUGGUACUAUGUUUGCCACCCUUUACUUUGCCUUAUGGGCUAGGAGCACCAUCCCAACAGCAGUUUGUGCAAUAUGCCAAGUUGUAUCAUUGAUCUGGUAUACAAUAAGUUAUGUUCCAGGAGGACAAACAGGACUUCAUUUCUUCUCUAAAAUUUUUACAACUGCUGUCACAAGAAAAGUCAACAAAAACUUGCCAAUUUGAAAUAAUUUAUUUAUCAUUUCCAGUCAAUUUUGGAUCUUCAAUAAUGUGUUACAGAAUAUCUGAAAUUUUGUGAAGGCCUAUGAAGGAAACUUGUUAAUUUUAAAGUAUUAUGUGGAACAUAAUUAUGGCUUGAACAACUCAAUUUGUAAUUGUCGUUAACAGCAGAUAUACUGAUAGAAGUGACAAAAUAUCCUUAAUUAUUUAUUAAACAACUACGUAGCAAUUUGAAAAAGGAUUCCAGAUCCCCACAGAUUGAAAAAAUUCAACAUAAAUUACGAACAGCAUUUUCAAGCCUGAUUGAUUAUGUGGUGCGUAAACAUGAUAGUUUGCGAUGGUCAAGCCACCAGCAUCUAUGCUCUCUCCCGCACCCCAAGGGGACCAGGAUGACAAUGAUCAUGAGAUGUUGAACGUGAUAUUGAAACUGUGUAUUUUUUCUACAUUCCUUAAUUCACUCAAUGUAUAAAAUAUAUAAAUCACCUGUAUGAUAUCUGCAUAUUACUGUAUGGAAAUAAAGCAAACACACAAAAUAACAUGAGCUUUACUGACAAUUUUCGUAAAUGUUGUCGCUGUUGGCAUGGUGACUGGUGAGAUUCUGCCAUAGAGUUAAAAACUGAAAACUGUAAGGGGCCUGGUUUACGUCCUUGAUACUGCAUUGUUGUCUACAGGGGCAAUGAAGUACUAGACACGAUAUCAACACUGCAAACAACCUCUCAGUAAAAUUGAAUACAAGAACAAUUGACAAUUUCUUUUUUACUUUUUAAUAUUUAACAAACUCUGGAGGAAUAACCUUUACAUACUCAAACUGUAAAGAAAGAAACGGAAUACACCUGAUAAGGACUUUUUAACAGUUGUUGCUUUGAAUAUUCGUUUUCAUCCUUUUUUUCUUGUGAACGUCUCUUGCUGAACAUCUUAGCUCCAUACUGGUUAGUCAAAGAGCGCAUCAAGAUCGUCAUCUGCAUCAUUUUUACUAUUAUACAUUUUCAUGUUAAAUAGUGCCAACAUGCUAUCCGUUGCUUUAAAAUCUUUGCAACAGUUACUUCUCAUCAUAAGGUGUGUUGUGAUUCUCAAAAUGGCCUCUAACAUGUGCAGUCCCAUAUGAUUGUGGACCUUGUUUUUAACAGAGGUGACAUGGGAAAAUAUGCAAUCAACAACUGCAUUACUCACUGGGGUGGUCAAACAGGAUAAUGCAUAGGUUGCUAGAUCUUCAUAAACACGUGUGUUGCAAGCAUCUU